rnacentral:tRNA from 1 species
GCCUGGGUAGCUCAGUCAGUUAAGUGUCUGACUUUGGCUCAGAUCAUGGUCUCAUGGUUUGUGGGUUCAAGCCCCACUUGGGCU